rnacentral:rRNA from 1 species
AUACGGAGGGUGCAAGCGUUACUCGGAAUCACUGGGCGUAAAGCGCGCGCAGGCGGUCUUUUAAGUUGGAUGUGAAAGCCUACAGCUCAACUGUAGAACUGCAUCCAAAACUAUUAGACUAGAGUCUGGGAGGGGAAGAUGGAAUUAGUUGUGUAGGGGUAAAAUCCGUAGAGAUAACUAGGAAUACCAAAAGCGAAGGCGAUCUUCUGGAACAGUACUGACGCUGAGGCGCGAAAGCGUGGGGAGCAAACAGGAUUAGAAACCCCGGUAGUCC